UUUUUUUUUUUUUUUUUUUUUAAAUAGUAGAAAUUUAUUCCUCAAUUCUGAAGACUAGAAGUCUAAGGUCAUCCUGUUUUCAGGGUUUGUUGUUUGUUUUGCUUUUUACAGCCACACCUGUGGCAUAUAGAAGUUCCUAGGCUAGGGGACAAAUUGGAGCUGCAGUUGCUGGCCUAGACCACAGCUCAUGGCAACGUCAGAUCCUUAGCCCACCAAACGAGGCGAGGGAUUGAACCUGUAUCCUCAUGGGUACUAGUUGGGUUCAUACUGCCGAGCCACACAGGAACUCCUCGAAGAGGUUUUGAACAUAUUUUGUACUGGACUCUGGAUUUCUAUGUAAACUGAAGUAUUCGGGGCUACUGAUUUGCUGAGGCAGUUAAAAAGUGUAAAACCUAACAAUGGUCUUAGGGAGUAGGUGUUGAGAUGCAGACAUUUGGCUUGUAAUUGUCAGGUAGGUCCUGAGCAUCAGUGUUUAAUAAGCUUCCAGGUAACUCUAGGUGCCAUGGAUUGAAAACUACUGGGAUGAGUAACCGAGUUCUUAGCCCCAGUGGUGCGGCUGGAAUCUGAGAACAACUUAGUAUUUUGGAGCUUAUGCUCCAAAUUAGAGUGUUUUUCGUACAUGUAAUUAUCCUUUUUGCUUGCCUUAGAAUUGAAAGAGCAUUCAUUAAACAUAACUGCUUCACAUCUGUUUUCAGCUCCACUACCAACCUUGUCAAGGAACUUGACUGAUUUGUCAUCUUUUCAUAAAGAUUCUGAUAGCCAGCUGUGUCGAACCUGUCCUCUGAGGUAGCUGAUACAUAGAUGAUGGCAAGGGUAGUUGUGAUGCUGUCUUCAGCAUCACAAACUUGGUAUUUUUCACCCUUCCUUUCUGCUCUUGUAGAAAACAUGCAGUCCUAGAUGGGCCUGAGGAGACCAGGUGGGAGCACUGAGUAGAGUGGUACAUUCUAGUCCAUGGUCCCUCAUUUUCAUCAUUGCAUUAUACUCUGCAGUAGCAACCACGAACCAUGGCCUGGAACCUGGCUUGUCAUCGCCCCCAGAGAACACUGCUAAGUGACCAAGCUUAGCACAAACAAUUUGAUGGCACAGAGGUAAUUCAAGGACUUCUCAGUAAGAAUUUGCCCAUUUCACUGAGAUGAACUUCUAUACCUGAGGACACCUGCACUUCUAAUCCUCCUCCUGGCUUUUCUUUCCCCUAGUAACACCCACUCCCCACAGGUUCGGCUUAAAUAUCCCUACUGGUCACCUAGCCCGCCCUCUGCACACCCAGUCAUGGUAGUCACUGGGACAGGAUUACCCCAGUGUGGCUCCACUUAACGUGGGUGUGUUUGGGGACCUGUAACACUGAGUCAGGACACAGAGAUGUGUACUUUCUCAGUGCUUGACGCUUGGCUGAUGUACCUACUUCUUAGGAGGUAGGUUUUUUUUUUUCGCAUGUGGAAGUUUGGGGCUGGGGCCAGGGAUCACCCUGUGCCACAGCAGUGACAAUGCUGGACCUUAACCCACUGAGCCACUCAGAAACUCCUAACUGAAACUGUGCGUGUAACACAGGAGGUGACAUUCAUCUCUAAGCUGAGGCCAUUUGCCCACUAAUAUUUUAGGUGAUAGUUUCCACAUCAUGAACCUGAACAGACGAGGAUGAUUGCAGUCAUGGCCCCCAGAGUUCACCUGUGUGAAUCCUAAAACCUGGCUUCUCCCGUAAGGCUACUAACACCUCUGUACCCCGGCCUCCCCAGCUUUUCUGGCUUUAACAGCAGGGCUGCUUGUUUUGAAGCUGGGGAGCAUCCUUCAGGCAGCAGGGCUGUGGUCUCAAAUCACAUUGGAAUCUUGGCUCCAGGUCAGUUUUUGGCUUAUAUUUUAAACAGCAAAUAGCUCAAAGCUAUCUGUAAAGUGAAAAAAACUGGUCUUAUGGAUUCACUAUGAUGGAUUACACUACACACUGUUGGUAAAGGGCCUAUUACUUAGAACAAUAAAUGGUACCUGUUACUUCUUUUCAGAGUCUUCCUUCAGUGCCACCAGGUUGCUUGCAUGCCACUUGAGAGGCAGGUCUGAAAUGGCACUGGAUGAGCCAGUUCUGGAAUGCCUUUAAUGUUUGGCCACUGACUGCAGACUCUGGAGGGCAGCAGAUGAUGUGGGUGAAGCUGGUCAACUGGGAAGUGGAGGGGAGGUGUGCUGGGAGUUGGGGAACAGCCCAGGUCCUUCCAGGGACCACAGCAGCCCUGCUUUAUGGAGGAGCAGUUCUCUACUGCUUGGGGCCCAGAGGGAGCAGUCCGAUAUUUUAAACAUUCCUUUGAAUGUGGUUAAACCUGAGCAGCAUUUUAAAAACCAGUUUUUCUUGGGCAUUUAGAUCUUGAUUCCAAAUUAGUUCACAGUUUAAAUUAGAAAUGUGAUUUGGGGAAUUCCCUGGUAGUGAAGCUGGUUAAGGAUCUAGCAUUGUUACUGCUAUGGUGUGGUUUUGAUCCCUGUCCCAGGAAUUUCUGCAUACCUUGGGUAUUGCCAAAAACAAAUGAUUUGCCUUUGAAAACAAACCAGAAACACUGCAAAUAUAACAGUUUUACUAAUAACUAAAUUUUUUCUUACAACUUUGGGUUUUUUCCGUCUUACAUCUUCCUAAAGAUUCUACCAUGUUCCCCCUUUACUGGAUGCUAUAUAGUCUUACUCCAGGAGGUCCUGCUGCGGCACAGUGGGUUAAUGAUCCAGCUUGUCUCUGGAGGCUUGGGUUCAAUCCCCAGCAAUGGGUUAAGGAUCUAGUGUUGCUGCAGCCGUGCUAUAGAUAAGCUCUGGCUUGGAUUCAAUCCCUGGCCCAGGAGCUUCCAUAUGCUGCAGGUGCAGCUGAAAAAGAAAAAGCAAAACCCUUUUAUUUGGCCCUAAAGAAUGCCAUCUCAUCAGCAGUGUGGGAGUCUGGUAUUUUUGGCUGGUUAACUAGGUUGGGACACAGAAGCCCAAAGUUAAUUAAAAACUAAGGUGCUAGAAGUGAGGUUGAACCCUCUCUCAGAACAGUUUAUCUUGGAGUUCCCGUUGUGGGAUCUGGCCUCCCGUUGUGGGAUCCCUGGCCUUGAACCUGCAUCCUCAUGGGUACUAGUGGGGUUCAUAAGGAUCUGGCAUUUCUGAGCUGUGGUCUCAGUCACAGAUGUGGCUUGGAUCUGGCAUGGCUGUGGCUGUGGUGUAGACAUCCCUAGGGAGGCAUUUUUUUCUUUUGCACCUGCUCUUUUUUAGUGACAGUAUCUGAGGCCCUUACCUGGGUGCUGGGGGACAUACACUCGAGUGUUAGGCCAAAGUACUCCCUCUGUUAUUACUUGUGUAAGACAGAGCUGGCAAAGGUCUUUUUAAUAUUAGGAGGCUUUAUAUAUAUAUAUAUAUUCAGGGCCACAUCCGAGAGGUAUGGAGGUUCCCAGGCUAGGGGUUCAAUCGGAGCUGUAGCCUCCAGCAUAGCCGCAACAAUGUCAGAUCCGAGCCAUGUCUGCAACCUACACCACAGCUCGUGGCAAUGCUGGAUCCUUAACCCACUAAGCGAGGCCAGGGAUUGAACCUGUGUCCUCAUGGGUGCUAGUCAGAUUCCUUUCCGCUGAGCCACAACGGGAACUCUAGGGUUUUUUUUGGUGUGUUGUCCACACACAAUUAAAUGUGUUAUAUUAUUCUACCCUGCUUACAACAUGGACUAGUCUAACAUUAGGAUUUUUCACUUGUGUUGACAGUUACUGUGCAGGAGUGUGGGUGUUAUCCCAAAUCAGGAUUUUCAUGUGAGAUUUUCCGGUUUUUAUACCAUAACAUAAGUCAAAGCAGCACAUAGGCCAAAUUCAUUCUGCCGGCUAGAAGUUUACAGCUGAGGAUAGAUAAGAUAAAUAGAUAUGUGAAUGCUACUAGGAUGUGAGUACAGUCUUAUUACUACAAAAGUGCUGUUAAAAUUUACGGGGCAGCUAGGAACAGUGUAAGUUAGGGCUGCUGGCACAAAAGGCAGUGCAGCCCAGUAGUCCCUGCUCUUACUUGUUCAACCAUCAAAUCUUACAUGCAGCCUAUGCCAGGGCUGGAUGUCAGGGUAGAGAUUAAAAAUAAAGGUAAGAUUACUGUAAGGGGAAGGCCUGUACAACUUGAACCCAGGGAUUUAAAAGCUACAUGAGCUUUUACAAGUCCUGCAAAGCCCCUUAGCCUGGCCCAGGCGACUGGACACAGGAAUUAGGUUAGGCCACAUCCUAGACCUGGUUAUAGAGCAUGUGGGUUUUCAGAACAAUUCAGAACUUUACAUACAUCUGUUUUGAGCAAUUCUUUUUCUUUUUAUGGCCAUACCUUUGGCAUAUGAAACUUCCCAGGCCAGGGGCCAAGUUGCAGCUUCAGGCCGACAUCACAGCCACAGCAACACUGGAGUUGAGCUGCAUCUGCAACCUACGCUGCAGCUUGUGGCAAUGCCAAAUUCUUAACCCCCUGCGUGAGGACAAGGAUGGAAUCUGCAUCCUCACAGAGACUAUAUCAGGUCCUUAACCCACUGAGCACAAUGGGAACUCCUUGAACAAUUUUUAUAUGUACUGUCUCCUUUAAAACCACAUCUCCAUAAGGCAAAAGUGCCAAUUUCAUGGAUGAGAAAAUAUGCCAAUUUCACAGCAGAGUAAAAAUGAGAGGUCAAAAAUAUUGUCUAAGGCUAUAGGAGCUAAUAAGGGGUGGAAUGAGGUUGUGAAUCCAGGCUGGCUGAACUGUCUCAAAUGACAGGUAGUCUUGGAGUUCUCGUAGUGGUGCAGUGGAAAUGAAUCUGACUAGGAGCCAUGAGGUUGUGGGUUUGAUCCCAGGCCUCACUCAGUGGGUUGAGGAUCCCACGUUGUGGUGAGCUGUGGUGUAGGUCGCAGACACGGCUCGAAUCCUGAGUUGCUGUGGCUCUGGCAUAGGCUGGCGGCUACAGCUCUGAUGUGACCCCUAGACUGGGAACUUCUUUUGUGGAGGGUGUGGCCCUAAAAAGACAAAAAACAGCAGCAGGAUGAGCAGAGGAAGGACUUUAGCAGACUGGCAAGAUAAAUGGAUCAGCAUGCUGUUUCAAGUACCAGGAAGUCAGACUCUCACUGAUUUCAACACUAAAGGGAAUUUACUGGUUUACACAACUGAAGAUUGAGUAGUGGGCUCCAGGUAAAGCCUGAAAUCUUUCAGCAACUCAAUGACUUCCACGUACUAAGGACUGUCUGCCCUUGGAGUCUGAAAGUGGCUGUCAGCUAGGGAAGGACCAUCCAAAUGAUCACAAUACUUCAUUUCUGAGUUCAAGGUGGCUGUUCCCAUAGUCACCAGAGAAGGAACGUGGGUACUUUGCAUGGUACCGCCUAAGCGACACACAUUCCUUUCAUUCAAUUCCCACUGGCCAUUAUUUAUUAGCAGACUCAUAUCUAGCUGCUGCGGAGGUGCGACGGCCAUAGCCCCUCCUAAACGUUCACGGAGAAUACUGGUCAUAGUUCAGGCCUGACCCUGGUGCCCAUUCCCAGUACGUGUCCGUCCUGCCUGAUGUGGUGCUUCCUGACUGCGGCCGGUGUGCCAGUGGCAGAAGUAACCGCGGCGAAGCACCGUGCUUGCAAAGGGCCAGCCGCUGUAAGUGGCUGAAGUAGCCACCAGCCCUCGCCUGAAUUCCACACCACAGUUCACUGCAACACUGACACCCUGUGGGAGGAGCCAGCAGAACCAUCCGGAUCGUGGCCUCUCCCCUGCCUUCCCGGUCCUUGACUAAGGACCUUCCGAUCCCAGCAAUGUGCCCAGCACACACCUACCGACUUCCCCUCUGCGGGCAGUGAUACACCACCUCUCUUAUCAGCCUCCUCCAGUAAGUGCGUUUUUCUUCCUUGGACCUUACAUUUCUAUUUUAAAAGAAAGUGACCUCAAGCACUGGUCCAGCUCUGACCCCGCGAUUCCAGGAGAAAAUCUCAGAAAAAGCAUAGGCCCCAUGUAAAUGCCAGAGAGGCGGGCAGGAGUUGACGAGGCCCGCACACGGUGUGUCUGUUCUUUCAGAAUCAGACAGGGUCCGCGGGACGCGUAACUACUGCGGCGUUCGAAAGCCCGCACCUCCUUAGACGCAAAUGC
rnacentral:lncRNA from 1 species